CUUUUACUUGAGUAAAGAAGUUUAAUCGGUACUUCCACUUUUACCAGAGUAUUUUUUAACACAAGUAUCUGUACUUUUACUCAAGUACGGAAAGUGAGUACUUUUGCCAUCUCUGUAUAUAAGGUCUAACACUAAGUAAGAUAGUCAGAAUUGAUAUCCUGUAACUUAAAUUAAUAUAAUAUUAUUGUUAAUGUAAUUAUGGAAGACUUUUUUGUUAAUACCAUAACUAAAUAACCUGAUGCCUUUUAUAUCUCUGUCAGAAUUGUAAAACUUUUUUAAUACAUUUCACCAAUUGUGUUUUUCUUGACUUUUUUGUGGUGAACUCCUCUGCAUUUUGUUAUUCCUGGUUUUCCAGAUUGAGUCUCCUCAGAAUUCAAAUGUUGCUUAAUUUUUCAUUUAGAUGCCAUGCUAAUUUUAAAUGACAGAUUAUAUAGAUACCUGGUAUAUAAGGCUUCUGAAUAGUUCCACACUGGCCAUGAGUCCCUGACCAAUCAUGUUUGAUGGAUUUGUUGUUCCACUCCAACCAGUCAGAGCUGCAGAGGGUCAUUGUGUCCUGCAUGGUGUCUCUAUUACUUAUUUAACAAAGCACUAAAAGAGACAUCGCUCAUUCUCGCUGAUUCUGAACAAUUUUCAAGUGACAUCGUGGCCUGAAAUUGAAGUCCUGCUUUUUGGAGAAGAAAGUAUUCAUGCUGGGUGAAGAUAUAUGGGCAAAGGAGGAAAGCAGGGGUGUGCGCAUGCAGAAGAAAAUGCGGACGUGGUGCCUAAAACAGCUGUGCUGGACCACUUGGCUGGCAGCAUUGACUGUAUCAAAGAGAGCCUUCCUGCAGCUGAACAGAUCUCGUUUGACUAUUUUUGCUUAGGAACUGGUCCUUGCUUAGUCCACAUUGACUGGGAAGUCUGGAAAAGGGGGAAAGCCAAAAGGACAGCUGGUUCACCAUAACUGGUGAAUAAC